GACGAACGCUGGCGGCGUGCUUAACACAUGCAAGUCGAACGGAAAGGCCCUGCUUUUGUGGGGUGCUCGAGUGGCGAACGGGUGAGUAACACGUGAGUAACCUGCCCUUGACUUUGGGAUAACUUCAGGAAACUGGGGCUAAUACCGGAUAGGAGCUCCUGCUGCAUGGUGGGGGUUGGAAAGUUUCGGCGGUUGGGGAUGGACUCGCGGCUUAUCAGCUUGCUGGUGGGGUAGCGGCUUACCAAGGCUUUGACGGGUAGCCGGCCUGAGAGGGUGACCGGCCACAUUGGGACUGAGAUACGGCCCAGACUCCUACGGGAGGCAGCAGUGGGGAAUAUUGCACAAUGGGCGGAAGCCUGAUGCAGCAACGCCGCGUGCGGGAUGACGGCCUUCGGGUUGUAAACCGCUUUCGCCUGUGACGAAGCGUGAGUGACGGUAAUGGGUAAAGAAGCACCGGCUAACUACGUG
rnacentral:rRNA from 1 species